rnacentral:rRNA from 1 species
GGUGAACGCUGGCGGCGUGCCUAAUACAUGCAAGUAGAACGCUGAAGGAAGGAGCUUGCUCUUUCCGGAUGAGUUGCGAACGGGUGAGUAACGCGUAGGUAACCUGCCUGGUAGCGGGGGAUAACUAUUGGAAACGAUAGCUAAUACCGCAUAACAGUAGAUGUUGCAUGACAACUAUUUGAAAGGGGCAAUUGCUCCACUACCAGAUGGACCUGCGUUGUAUUAGCUAGUUGGUGAGGUAACGGCUCACCAAGGCGACGAUACAUAGCCGACCUGAGAGGGUGGUCGGCCACACUGGGACUGAGACACGGCCCAGACUCCUACGGGAGGCAGCAGUAGGGAAUCUUCGGCAAUGGACGGAAGUCUGACCGAGCAACGCCGCGUGAGUGAAGAAGGUUUUCGGAUCGUAAAGCUCUGUUGUAAGAGAAGAACGAGUGUGAGAGUGGAAAGUUCACACUGUGACGGUAUCUUACCAGAAAGGGACGGCUAACUACGUG